GGGCGGUUAGCUCAGUGGUAGAGCGCUUGCCUUACAAGCAAGAGGCCAGAGGUUCGAAACCUCUACCGCCCA
rnacentral:tRNA from 1 species